rnacentral:lncRNA from 1 species
AGCUCUACUGCUGGGACCUGGGCCUGAACCUGAACAAGCUCAUGGCCUGCAUCCUGUGGCUGACUGGAGGAAGUCUCUGAUGGGUCCGCCAACUGGAUAACUGCAUCAUCGGACUGGGGAAUCAGCCACUUCCUUUUAGGAGGCCUCUCAGACUACUGUGGUUGGGAAUGGGCUGCUGGCACAGGGUCUUAUAGUAGCAAAUCCAAAGGCAGGUGAUCCUCCUUCAACAUCUCAACCUCGAC